rnacentral:snoRNA from 1 species
GUGCAUAUGAUGAUGAAUAAUUGUGAUGCUUAUUUAUAUCCGUGAAGCCAACAAUAAUUCGAGCUUUUUAAAUCUGAUGCUGU